UUCGGGCUAUUUUUUUUUCUGCUUUUCGGACAAUUUUUUUUCCCGAGUUAUCGGGGCACAUCGAACUCACGCGAGAACCUGUGAACGACAAGUGACUCCUGGCGGAGUACUUCCGCCUUCAACCGACGCGUUUAGCUCAGGGGUCCAAUUCAGCCAAGCUACACAAUUAUUGACACUUUAUGGUACUCCAUCUACUGUAGUUUGGUUGUGGACUGCAUACAAGUAAGUAGUAGACGAACUCCAACGUCCCAUCGGUAUGUAUGUAACAGUUACUAUGUUUCACUGAUGCUUUUCAUAACUCAUCCAUGACUUGACAACGUGCGUUUCAUCAUAACAUGUAUACAAUGGCACUACACUUCCAUAAGGAGAACGAGACAUUCGUUGUAACAUUAGUUUACAAGCACACAAACACAAAAGGCGUGUUAGUUUAACAUGGGCCAGGUAAGCUUGUAAAUAAAACGGGACGUUGCCAGCAGACUAAAUACUAUUAACAACAAAAUUUAUAAAAGCCCACAUUGAGGUUUCGUUUUCUGCACUAUUAGAGUCAGUAAUGUUAUUGUGUACGAAUAAGCAGUCAAGACUUUCAUCACACAAGAACACAGCAAAACCUUUAGUGGUGAAGAGUAUUUUACUUUUAUUGCACUUUCAUUAUUUGCUUAAAUAUGACCUUAUACAUUUAAUCAACAGAUAAAGUGUUGCCCAUUUGCUAACCAGACAAGGAUGUGUUGUGGAGCAGGUGGUUUUCCUUGAUCUUUGUACGCAGAAAACGGCUGGUGCCAUCCUCCUCUCUCAGGCGUUGCCGUGGAGACAAACGACACCUGAUAAGGAGCGGAAAGUUACCAUCCCGGCCCAGGACCAGACUGACGGUGGGGGGGGGGGGGGGCAGCAGCCACCUUUACCAUGGACCCAUACAUAUAAAAACCUCGUGUUACUGGGCAGCUUUUGUCUUCUUCUUUGGCUAUCCUGCCAGAAGACACACGUCCCGUGUGCGGCAGAUACCUAGAUAAGACCCGGGCGUCUGUACUGCACAUUCCUUUGUAAUAAAUCAGGGAUGAGAAUGACCAAUUUGGAAAAACACUAAAAAUGUCUGUCGAUGGGGAGGUUGAGCUCGUAUCGGAACACAGAGUGCACAGCACUUUGCCGGGAAUGUCCACUUUUUGUUUGUGUUCUGUUAGACAUGUUGAUACCGUUUUUGCUCCUAUCUGCACGGUUACACUUUUUCCAAGCCAUGCCCGUGUGAAAGUUUUUGAUUCCAGCAUCCUUGUCAAUUUCCCUCGCUCGAUCGUCAUCCUUUUUUUCCCAACACUUUCGCCAUCGUAAAACUAUGAACACACCGUCGCUCAGUUUGUGCUAUCAGUUGGCUAACAAGUUACACUGCGAUUUCUGAGAACCGAGAACACAUGUACAUGGCAAUGGUGAAACUCGAUUAACCACUAACACGAUUGGCUCGUUAUACUGUAUAACUCUGUUGUCCGAUCGAGUAAUCUGCCGCAAUAUGCAAAUAUUUACACUACCGUGCAAGUUAGAACGGCAUAAGAUAGUCGUGCUUGUGCUAGCAUUAAGCUGAACUUGCAACUCGGAGCCCACCACCGAGAGGCAGGCGCACGAUACCCUACCCCCCUGAAAUUUUCUCAACGGAUUUGCGCUUAUCUCGAAAAUGGUCAUUUUGGUCUGAAAAAGUCGGAAAUUCGCCGAUCGGCGGAAGAUUCUCAAACCUGAUAAAUCCAUUUGCUGUUAACGUUUUCUAAUCAUUAGUCAUAUCUUCCUCAACUCGUGAACACGCGUCGGGUCCUAACUCGCAAAUCCCUACAGUGGUGAUUUAUGUGAGCAUGUAGCGCCGUAGAAAAGGAGUCUGAGGUGGAGUGUCGAACACAGGAACAAACCUCGUUUAAAUGGCAGACAUCAACAGACUAAACGCAUUACGGCGGGAAGUCUCCACUAACUCUGACACCGGAAGUGUAACCAACCAAAACAGUCCGUGUGGAACCCCCCAACCCAACUUGUGGUCCCGCAGCAUUGUAAUGGCUACAUCCUCAAUCCCUUGCCUGUGCCAAGUGGGAAUUUCCAAGCAACAGAGGUGUCCAUGAGGAAAGUAGAAAAUGAAGCAAGGUCAUAUUGACACCUCGAUUAUUGGAGAAAUGGAUGAUGCUGCUUUGGCCUUUUCCAUUCCAGCCUGUGGUGACAGGAUUGCUGCAAGGUGUUUCUCAAUGGAAAAACAAAGAGGUUUGUUCUCUAUUCAGUUAGUGAUAAUUGUUUGAACUGUGAAUGUGGGCCAUGGGAGAUUUUCUUGGUGUAGGUGCUGUAUGAGUAGUCGAAGAAACAAUAACUCACACAAGCACAGGGUGAUUGUGAAAAUUUUUGUCUACCCUAUCAACAGUUAACAAUUCAAUUUGGGAUGGGAAUGUUUGUGUUAUAAACACCAUUGUGUUUUUACUCUUAAAUUUGAAUGGAAUUUGAAUCUCUACCUAAUAAGACAGUGUUUGUGAGUCUGGUACAAGGUCGUUUUUUUGUUUUGUUUCCCAAACACAUUGUGUGUCCUGUAGUUAAAGGGUCGUGCUCUGUGAGACGAUGUUUCCAGCUGCGUUGCAUGUGUGCUUGCAUUGACAAGAGUUACAGGUAUCUUUGUGCAAACUCCAAUAAAGA